rnacentral:tRNA from 1 species
GACCUCUUAGUUUAAAUAGGAUAGAACGUGGGAUUCCGGAUCCCAAAGUGAGGGUUCGAAUCCCUCUUAGGUCA